GUCCGUGCGACGGAGAUGACACGCCGGGACCAUUUUGUGGACGAUAAAAAAGCCCAAUGAAAUAAUAAAAAAAAAGAGAGAAAACGGAAGAAAAAAAAGAGGGCUGGAGAAGCUGAAAAAUAGAGCCGCGCAACUCGCGGGACAGGUUAUGUACAUAGGCGUAGCACAUAGAGCGAUGAACAGAAAUCGAAUGUUCUGUGAAAAAAUCGGGUUCACGAAUGGAAAGAUGUUGUAUACUCUGGGAAAUUGUCUCCAUAAAAUCUAUGCGGAGGAAGACACUACAGAUAUCACGCUAAGUAGACAGCUGUCUUCAAUCAAAUUCAUGGGUGAGAUAAUCCUUUUGGGUGCAUUUGAUGCGCAUUUCUUAUGACUUAUGACUGUUCAUACUUGGAGUACGAAAAUGCAUACGAAAAACAAGCACAAUUGAAAAAAUACAGCAAGAGUGCAGAGUCUCAUUGAUUCCAAGCGGUGUCCUGCUUCGUUCCAAAAUUUCGGACAAAGCGACAGAAGUUUGACAAGAUACAUACCGCCGAUACAUCUUCGUUGCCUCCCUGAUGUCAAUUGCAAGAGGAGAUUAAAGUAAACGAAAGAAACUGGAGUUAAAACAAAAACAGUAGCAACUAGGUCAUACCGAAGUCGAGGGAGAAUAUUGUAUUCCCAUAGUGUCUCGAUCUCAUCUAAAAUUGGAUUGUAAUGAUAAAACUUGAUCAAAGAACAGAACAGAACAGAAGGGAUGAAGAUGUUCUAGAUUAACUAUAUUUGAACAUUCUGAUUUCAUGAUGGGACAAGAAGUAAGCCUGUCUCAGGUUGGCUUUUACGAGCUAGUCUGUCGCUCACCGUGACAGACCAACUGAUCUUCAGAUUGACUUUUCCUAUUUAUACGCUCCUAAUUGCGUACACUCGCGUCAGGGUUAGCCAACUUGUUAAGAUUCUAUCUUACAUAUGACUUAAGGCUACGUCUUCUAUUUUUUAUCAUUCUGCGUAGGUCGAUCUGUAAAUGUGCAAUCGCUGAAAAAUACUUCAUCUUGCGUCUGGCACAAAAAGAAUUCGUUUUUCCCUAUUGACAAAAAGUGUAUCGCGUGUAGUGGUUGAGAUUAGUGCUGUCGAUCGUUUUUUAAUAACAUCGAAACGAAGCUAGCUUCACUUAUUAAUUUCGCUUUUAAGCGUCGACAAAGACACAGCGAUAAAUAUUUACAGAA